GCCAGGCACAGUAGCGUGUGCCUAUAGUCCCACCUACAUGGGAGGCUGAGGUGGGAGGAUCACUUGAGCCCAGGAGUUUGAGGCUGCAGUGGGUUAUGAUCAGGCCACUGGACUCCAGCCUGGGCAACAGAGUAAGACCCUAUCUCUA
ensembl:misc_RNA Metazoa_SRP Metazoan signal recognition particle RNA